UUAACUCAAAAUUGUAUGGAGUUGGAACGUUUGCCUAUGUUUGCGCUAGGGGCGCUGUUCCAAAAGCAUUCAAAUUUGAGUUU
rnacentral:pre_miRNA from 1 species